UUAUUCGUUUUUAUAAUUUAGGAUAUUGAUCUUUUUACAGAUUGGUUCACCAGGUUCACAGGACUUUCUAUGUAUUAUGGAUAUUAACCCCUUGUGUCUAUGAUGUAUUUUCCCCAGUGUUUGGAGUUGCUAUAUAUGUAAAUGAAGCUGAUGAAGGUCUGGGUCGUUAAGAAAAGGUACAGUGUGAGGAGAGGCCGGCCCUUUUGGUGACCAGGAACAGCAACAUCGAAUGGAAACAGUUACUACAAAGAAGCUGGUGCUUCAGAAGGAAGAGCAGCUGGAAUGAGUGUCACAAGCAAGCGUUUUUACAAGGAUCUAAUGAGAUGAAGCAGGUGAAGUCCUUGGUGAACCACUCAGCGCUGUGCACACCAGAGGUUGUGCCAGCUUUUGGACUUCUUAUAAGCGAGAGAGAAGUAAACUUUCUUGUUUAAACUGUUGUUUUGGGUUUUCUGUUACCUGAGGCCAAAGAGAAUUCCAAUUUGAUCAGGGUGUGUCUAUUGAGGUUUUAAGAAAAUAUCUUUUAGAAUCCUUCUAUGCUUUUUUCCAAAAACGUCUGGCAUAGUUUUUGUGUAGCACACUUUUAGGUUCUUUUCAGUUUUACUGUGCAUUGGUAGCUUACAGUACUGAAUGUACGCCUAGCUGUUUUUCUCAUUCAUUCACGGUUUUUGAGCUGGUCCCGGUUAAUGGAUAUAGAUCCUACUUGCUUCUUGAAUUGCUGCAUAGUUUUCCUUUUUAUGGAUGUAAUGUAUUUUACUCAUCAUUUUGCUACAGACAGAAAUUUAAACUGUUUCAUAGCUUCCAAUUUAGCAAGCAUUGCCAAAUUUUUCCCCAGAGAGAGGUACCAUUAUAUAUACUUUUGCAAGAAAGUAUGAGUGUUCUCCUUUCCCUACAUCUUGCCAACACAUCGUAUUAUGAGAUUUCUUAUUUAUGGCCAACCUGAUUUUAAAAAGAUGAUUCCUAGUAGUUACAAUUUUCACCCAAUAACUAAUAUUAGUUUGAGUAUCCUUCCCUCUAUUUGUUGACCAUUUAGGUUUUAACUUUUGUCUAUUUUCUGUUCAUUUCAUUU